rnacentral:rRNA from 1 species
GGCUACGGCUCAACCGUAGUAAGCUCUUGAAACUGGGAGACUUGAGUGCAGGAGAGGAGAGUGGAAUUCCUAGUGUAGCGGUGAAAUGCGUAGAUAUUAGGAGGAACACCAGUUGCGAAGGCGGCUCGCUGGACUGUAACUGACGCUGAGGCACGAAAGCGUGGGGAGCAAACAGGAUUAGAUACCCUGGUAGUCCACGCUGUAAACGAUGAGUACUAGGUGUCUGGGGUUACCCCC